CCUCAAUACCGCAUAAAAAUAAAUAAGUGAAAUAAAGAUAUCAUGUUCAACUACAACUAAAACUAAAUAUUAAAAAAAAUCCCACCAAAAUUUUUAUCAGGUGUUAUCAAGAAAUUGAACAAAAUGAAGAAAAAAACCCACAAGACAAUAGAAGCUGACUCACAGAAGACCUAGACAUAGAAGUUCUAAAAUGUGGGAUUAUAAAAACAUUAUGAUAAGGGUUUGGAAAUGUAGUUCAGUGGUUGAACACUUGCCUACCAUGCAUAAGGCUGUGAGUUCAAUCCCCAGUACUGCAAAAUAAAACAAGACCUCCCAAAAAAAUCACUGUGAUAAAUAUUACCAGGAAAACAAGUGACAAGGUAGAAAUAUUUCAUUGUAGGGCUGACAAUUAUUUCAAAGGAUCAAAAGAUCAGAUAGAAAUUCUAAAACUAAAGGGUAAUGAAGGGAAGGGAAGAGGGAUGAGAAUAGGAAAGACAGCAGAAAGAAUUGGUUAUAGCUUUCCUAUGCUCAUAUAUGAAUACAUGACCAGUGUAACUCCACAUCAUGAUAUUCAGCCACAAGGAUGGGAUCAAAAUUGUAAUAGGUUGCACCCCAUGUAUGUAUAAUAUGUCAGAAUUCACCCUACUGUCAUGUAUAUCUAAAAACAAAACAAAAAAUAAGGCUGAAUUGAAAUUUGAACUGAUAGGUUUAGCAACUGAUUGGACACAGCAGAUCAGAUGCAUGAAUUGGAAGUUAUUUCAUUAGAAAAUAUUCAGAUUACAGCACAAAAAUAAAAGAAAUGUGGGGUUGGGGAUGAUCCUUAAGCUGACUUCACUGCAAAACUUGGAGAAAAUGUAGAUGGACAUAAAUAUCAUAGUAAUUUGUGAAUGCUACAUACCCUGACCAUGUAGAAAUAAGAGAGCAAUGGCCAAUGGGAAGAGAAUGUUGAAAGAAGGUGGACUCCUGAGCAAGAUUCCUAGUUUCCUAAUAUUUAAUAGCAGGAAAUAGAUAUUUAAAGUUGACUAUUCAAACUACAGAGAUUGAAG
rnacentral:lncRNA from 1 species